CACGUAGGGCGCAAGCGUUGUCCGGAAUUAUUGGGCGUAAAGAGCUCGUAGGCGGUCUGUUGCGUCCGCUGUGAAAACCCGGGGCUUAACCCCUGGCUUGCAGUGGAUACGGACAGACUAGAGGUAGGUAGGGGAGAUUGGAAUUCCUGGUGUAGCGGUGAAAUGCGCAGAUAUCAGGAGGAACACCGGUGGCGAAGGCGGGUCUCUGGGCCGAUACUGACGCUGAGGAGCGAAAGCGUGGGGAGCGAACAGG
rnacentral:rRNA from 1 species